rnacentral:rRNA from 1 species
UACGGAGGAUGCGAGCGUUAUCCGGAUUUAUUGGGUUUAAAGGGUGCGUAGGCGGAUCGUUAAGUCAGUGGUCAAAUUGAGGGGCUCAACCCCUUCCCGCCAUUGAAACUGGCGAUCUUGAGUGGAAGAGAAGUAUGCGGAAUGCGUGGUGUAGCGGUGAAAUGCGUAGAUAUCACGCAGAACCCCGAUUGCGAAGGCAGCAUGCCGGCUUCCUACUGACGCUGAAGCACGAAAGCGUGGGGAUCGAACAGG